GCCCCAGCCCUGGGAUUUUCAGGUGUUUCCAUUUGAUGAUCACGACUGAACACAGAAGAUUCACCAUGGAGUUUGGGCUGAGCUGGGUUUUCCUUGUUGCUAUUUUAAAAGGUGUCCAGUGUGAGGUGCAGCUGGUGGAGUCUGGGGGAGGCUUGGUUCAGCCUGGGGGCUCCCUGAGACUCUCCUGUGCAGCCUCUGGAUUCACCUUCAGCAGCUAUGCCAUGAGCUGGGUCCGCCAGGCUCCAGGGAAGGCGCUGGAGUGGGUCUCAGCUAUUGGUACUGGUGGUAGCACAUACUAUGCAGACGCCGUGAAGGGCCGAUUCACCAUCUCCAGAGACAACGCCAAGAACUCGCUGUUUCUGCAAAUGAACAGCCUGAGAGCCGAGGACACGGCCGUGUAUUACUGUGCGAGAGGCACACUGAGGAGAAGUCAGUGUGAGCCCAGACACAAACCUCCUGCAGGGACACUCGGGGGAAUCAGCUGCAGGGGGCGCUCAGGACCCACUGAUGAGAGUCAACCGCAGAGGCAGGUGCAGAUGGAGGCUGAUUUCCUAUCAGAAUGUGGGACUUCCUCUUCGUCUGACAGUUUCUCUAGUGAAUCUCUCUAA